GUACCAAAUAAUCAAUGCUCUGUAAUCAUUUAAAAGUAUUUUGACCGGACCUCUGUUUGACACGUCUGAAUAACUAAAAGUAAAAAUUUGCCACUCAAGUGGCUUUUUUU
rnacentral:ncRNA from 1 species